rnacentral:ncRNA from 1 species
AGUUUGUUGGUAUUCAGUAAAUAUAUAAGCGAUGCCAGACACGGAUGUCUGGCAAGGCCCGUCGAGACAGGAUGUCGGGUCCGGCGCCGGUCGCGUAUUACCGGAAGUACUUAACCUGAAUACUUACAAACUCUUAUAUACGGAC